rnacentral:rRNA from 1 species
UACGGAGGGUGCAAGCGUUAUCCGGAUUCACUGGGUUUAAAGGGAGCGUAGGUGGCUUUGUAAGUCAGUGGUGAAAUCUUAGAGCUCAACUCUAAAAACUGCCAUUGAUACUGCUUAGCUUGAAUCACGUCGAGGUGGAUGGAAUAUUACAUGUAGCGGUGAAAUGCUUAGAUAUGUAAUAGAACACCGAUUGCGAAGGCAGUUCACUAGGCGUGUAUUGACACUUGAGGCUCGAAAAGCGUGGGGGAUCAAACAGG